AUGUCUCUCUCCUUCCUUCUUAUCGUCUUAGCGUCUUUCCUCCCCUCCUCUCUCGGCUGCUUUUUGACAAAAUGGAGACUUUAUCCGUAGGACUCUCAACUUCUCCGCCUUCAUUAAACUACCCCAAUAUCCAAACUUUUACUUCCAAACCGAUUCUUCGAAUCCCCAAUUCAACUUCUCAGUCCCGCCAUUUUAUGCAAACUGUUUCCCCUCCCACUAAAGCACCUCGUCAAGUACCCCAGACUGAAUUUCGGAAUUGUAAGCUAACCAAAACUUUAACCACUCUUUGUAAUGGGGAUAUGUUAAGGUUUCAUUUGGAUGCCAUGCUUCUUAAAUCCCAUGUUUCCUUUCUAUCAAUGGGAUUCUUUUUCCCUCUUUCUUGUUUUGCUUCUGAAGCUGCUGUACCAACAACUCAAGAAGUCUCUAACAAAAUUAACUUGGAAGCUGUUGUGGUUUCAGUGGAUGAUUUCUUCAAUAAAAAUCCAUUCUUUGUUGCUGGGGUUGUCUUUAUUUGGCUUGUUGUAGUCCCAUUGGGCCAAGAAUAUUUUCGGAAGUAUAAGUUUAUCUCUGCCAUUGAUGCUUUCAGGAAACUCCGGGAUGACCCCAAUUAUCAGCUGUUGGAUAUCAGGGAUGAGAAGAGUUUGAAUUUCCUGAAUUCACCUAAUUUGAAGAUUUUAAAUAAGAGUGUGCUGCACGUGGCGUUUUCCGAAGGAGAUGAAGAAGGUUUUUUGAGGGAAGUUUUGGAAAAAUUUAAGGAGCCAGAUAAAACCACUGUUUGUGUUCUGGACAAUUUUGAUGGUAACUCCAUGAAAGUGGCUGAGUUAUUAGCCAAAAAUGGACUUAAGGAAGCUUAUGCAAUAAGAGGUGGAAUUAGAGGCAACAAAGGAUGGCAGGAGAUACAAGAAACUCUGCUCCCUCCAUCUGUGCACAUCUACCCCAAGAAGAAGGCCAAAGUUUCACAGCAACCUAGUGGUAAUGGUGGAGUAAACAGCCAAACUGAAGGUAGCUCAUCAUCUGUUACCGGUCUGCUUGCCAACGAACCUGAAAAGAUCAGCGAUGAGUCUGUAAUCAGUUCUUCUGAACUGACCUCUGGGACAAAAUGUGGCCCUAGAUCAUCAUCUCCAUACCCAAAUUAUCCAGAUUUGAAACCACCAUCAUCCCCAACACCAUCAAAGCCAGAAAUAUGAUGCAAAGCCUCACUGACUUAAAUGCUGAAACUUCGUCAUUGCUUGGGUAGUUUUUUCUGAGCGGUUGCUUCAACUUGUGGCAUUCCAUAAAUUUCUGAAGAGAGUGCAGAGUUUGGUUUGAUCCAUAGAGGGAAGCCUACUUCUGGAUUUUUUCAAUUUUAUUACUAUCACAGAGUAGCGACCAAUUGUUUUCUCAAGAUAAGAGAAUGAUCGAAGGCAGUUAUUGGAAAAGGAAUCCUAAUUGCCAAGCUAGACACUUCGAUGAUCAUGUAGUGCUGUUUGGAAGUAUGUGUGCAACAUGGAAUUUAUGAACACAAGUACCAGAUACACUAGAAUGUGGUAAUGGAAGGUUGAGUGAUAUAUCCAGUUGUUCACUAACCAAUUAAGGCUUUGCUGGGGAAAUAUAGCAGCUACAAAUGGAAAUACUAGCAAACAAACCCUGUCUUCCCGUAAUAGAGAAACAAGAACCUUGAAGACAUUGCAGGACCUAUAAGUUUGCAUACCUGGAACCUUCUUCGCCAAUUCCAACCCAAUAUUCAUCCACUUCUGUGCCACUUCAGUCUGUCCCAACCUCAGAGGAAGUGCUGCUCGGUUCCAUGCUGUCAUGGAAAGCCAUUUUGCCUCUUCAGUGGGAUACUCCCCUUCCUUCAAACCCACCAUUAUUCGAAUUAAAGCCACAUAUUGGUAAUCAGGAGAAGGGGAAGCAAGGAGAGCAGAAAGGCAAGAAUUCAGGGCAAAACCAGCUACUUCAGGGUUGGAUCGUGGUCCCUGUGAGGCAUCAAGACCGAUCUGAAGAAGAUGCAAAGGAUUGCAAGAUUUAGAACUAGCAAAGCUUUUUAUCAAAAGCAUCUGCUUUUGUCCCAUGUCACUUAGCCUUGAAUAUAGAUCGUAGGCACUCCAAGUGUGCAUAAAAAUGAAGUCAGACUCUGUGCUGGUUUCUUUAUGUUCAUCUUGCAAAGAGAUUGCCGAGCUUGAUAAUAAAAUCUGCAAUUAACAAAUAAACACUUUGUUACAAUCAAACAUUUGGUACCGGUGAAUACAACUUUCACAACCAUGCUCCUCCAGAGCGAACUUUAACUUAAUUUGACAGCAAACUUCUGAUCUCUGAUCAGAAGUUAAAGUUUUACUGGUAAA